GACUUAGAAGCAACAGCUGAAGUUACUGAAGUUACAAUUCCAGUAAACGAGGGUAACUUAUCUAUAACACAGCCUUUAGGAACAGAAAUCCCCGUGUCUACUGCUUUUCAUGAAGUUUCAGCCGAACCUAAUGAAGCUGCGACUCCUAUCGCUCCAAUCACCUCAGUGACCAAUGAAGAUGUUUAACCUUACCUAUUUUUUGUUUGAUUCUGAUGAUGUGAUGAAGUCCCCAGUUUCUAUAAUGG
rnacentral:lncRNA from 1 species